rnacentral:lncRNA from 1 species
GCAACAGUAGAUGCCAGUGUUAUGGCAUAUGUUGCUGUACAUGAGGAGGGAUGUCUUUAUUAGAAGACAUCAAGAGGAGUCAAUGACAACUUAAUCACUAACUGGCGCUGGACGAAGGACUGAAAUUUGGGAGUCACUGCCAUAGAUUAUGUCGUUUAUUCUGGCCAGCUUUAAUGCUGUCUAUAAUCCUAACAUGGUGUCAGAACAGAGACUUUCUUUGAGGUUGUCUUCUCUUUGUAGGACAUUCAUUUAUUUAACAAACACAAGCCAGGCUUGUGCUCUGUGCCAGGAACAUAAAGAUAAAAGUCUCUGCCUCAUGAAACUCACAAUCUGUAAACAGAUAAUUUUUCAGUUGAAUCUUGUUGUCACUGACUCAUGUUCCCGGAAAUAACCAUGUAUAUCAAAGACACAAAAGAGAGAAAUGCAAUGCAUGCCAUCUUUUAAAGCAGUAAACCUAUUGCCAGUAUGCAGAGAAAACUGUCAAUUCUAUUUUUAUUAAAUUCUCAUGUACAUCUAUUCUUUUGUUUUUUUGCAAGCAGAAUCAAAGCUCAACAAUGAUUCUUAGUGUAGAUUCUUCAGCCUUAUUGUUCUUUGAAUGCCACUGUGUUGCUCACCUUCCUUGUCAAACUCUUUUACUUCCUCCACCUCCACUUUGAACCAAAAGAUACUAUAACGAGUUCAUCCUAAGGGUAAAUUAAUUCUAC